rnacentral:rRNA from 1 species
GACGAACGCUGGCGGCGUGCUUAACACAUGCAAGUCGAACGGAAAGGCCCUACUUUUGUGGUGUUCUCGAGUGGCGAACGGGUGAGUAACACGUGAAUAACCUGCUCUUGACUUUGGGAUAACUUCAGGAAACUAGGCCUAAUACCGGAUAGCAUCUCCUCUUGCAUGGUAGGGGUUGGAAAUUUUCUGCGGUUGGGGAUGGACUCGCGGCUUAUCAGCUUGUUGGUGGGGUAGUGGCUUACCAAGGCUUUGACGGGUAGCCGGCCUGUGAGGGUGACCGGCGACAUUGGGACUGAGAUAGGGCGCAGACUCCUACGGGAGGCAGCAGGGGGAAAUAUUGCACAGUGGGCGGAAGCCUGAUGAAGCAACGCCGCGUGCGGGAUGACGUCCUUCGGGUUAAAAACAGCUUUCGCCUGUGACGAAGCGGGAGUGACGGUAAUGGGUAAAGAAGCACCGGCUAACUACGUG